rnacentral:rRNA from 1 species
CGACUUACCAACCCGAUGCAAACUGCGAAUACCGGAGAAUGUUAUCACGGGAGACACACGGCGGGUGCUAACGUCCGUCGUGAAGAGGGAAACAACCCAGACCGCCAGCUAAGGUCCCAAAGUCAUGGUUAAGUGGGAAACGAUGUGGGAAGGCCCAGACAGCCAGGAUGUUGGCUUAGAAGCAGCCAUCAUUUAAAGAAAGCGUAAUAGCUCACUGGUCGAGUCGGCCUGCGCGGAAGAUGUAACGGGGCUAAACCAUGCACCGAAGCUGCGGCAGCGACGCUGAUGCGUUGUUGGGUAGGGGAGCGUUCUGUAAGCCUGCGAAGGUGUGCUGUGAGGCAUGCUGGAGGUAUCAGAAGUGCGAAUGCUGACAUAAGUAACGAUAAAGCGGGUGAAAAGCCCGCUCGCCGGAAGACCAAGGGUUCCUGUCCAACGUUAAUCGGGGCAGGGUGAGUCGACCCCUAAGGCGAGGCCGAAAGGCGUAGUCGAUGGGAAACAGGUUAAUAUUCCUGUACUUGGUGUUACUGCGAAGGGGGGACGGAGAAGGCUAUGUUGGCCGGGCGACGGUUGUCCCGGUUUAAGCGUGUAGGCUGGUUUUCCAGGCAAAUCCGGAAAAUCAAGGCUGAGGCGUGAUGACGAGGCACUACGGUGCUGAAGCAACAAAUGCCCUGCUUCCAGGAAAAGCCUCUAAGCAUCAGGUAACAUCAAAUCGUACCCCAAACCGACACAGGUGGUCAGGUAGAGAAUACCAAGGCGCUUGAGAGAACUCGGGUGAAGGAACUAGGCAAAAUGGUGCCGUAACUUCGGGAGAAGGCACGCUGAUAUGUAGGUGAAGUCCCUCGCGGAUGGAGCUGAAAUCAGUCGAAGAUACCAGCUGGCUGCAACUGUUUAUUAAAAACACAGCACUGUGCAAACACGAAAGUGGACGUAUACGGUGUGACGCCUGCCCGGUGCCGGAAGGUUAAUUGAUGGGGUCAGCGCAAGCGAAGCUCUUGAUCGAAGCCCCGGUAAACGGCGGCCGUAACUAUAACGGUCCUAAGGUAGCGAAAUUCCUUGUCGGGUAAGUUCCGACCUGCACGAAUGGCGUAAUGAUGGCCAGGCUGUCUCCACCCGAGACUCAGUGAAAUUGAACUCGCUGUGAAGAUGCAGUGUACCCGCGGCAAGACGGAAAGACCCCGUGAACCUUUACUAUAGCUUGACACUGAACAUUGAGCCUUGAUGUGUAGGAUAGGUGGGAGGCUUUGAAGUGUGGACGCCAGUCUGCAUGGAGCCGACCUUGAAAUACCACCCUUUAAUGUUUGAUGUUCUAACGUUGACCCGUAAUCCGGGUUGCGGACAGUGUCUGGUGGGUAGUUUGACUGGGGCGGUCUCCUCCUAAAGAGUAACGGAGG